GGAUUCCUCCGCAAGGUUUGUCCACGGAAGGUAAGUUAGGUCCUAAGUUCAUGCUAGAAGCUCAAUCGAUGGACAAGAAGUGAAUAUUUUUGUAUAAUCUUGUGUUGGUUUCAUGGGAUAGAGUAGGCUAAGUUAGCCAAAAGCAGGUUAUCUUUUUAGGAAUAUUAGGCCCCACUGGUUUGGGGAUUUUUUUUUUUAAAUUUUUUUACAAGGUUUAAUAAUGCACGAUUUUUUUUAGUACUCCGAUAUUUUAACAAUUAAGUGUACUCUUGUUCC
rnacentral:rRNA from 1 species